GUACGGAAGGCAGCAGUUGGGAAUCUUGGACAAUGGGGGAAACCCUGAUCCAGCCAUGCCGCGUGAGUGAUGAAGGCCUUCGGGUUGUAAAGCUCUUUUACCCGGGAAGAUAAUGACUGUACCGGGAGAAUAAGCUCCGGCUAACUUCGUGCCAGCAGCCGCGGUAAUACGAAGGGGGCUAGCGUUGUUCGGAAUUACUGGGCGUAAAGCGCGCGCAGGCGGUUUUUCAAGUCAGUGGUGAAAGCCCGGAGCUCAACUCCGGAACUGCCAUUGAAACUGUGAAACUUGAGGACGAGAGAGGUGAGUGGAAUUCCCAGUGUAGAGGUGAAAUUCGUAGAUAUUGGGAAGAACACCGGUGGCGAAGGCGGCUCACUGGCUCGUUUCUGACGCUCAGGCGCGACAGCGUGGGGAUCAAACAGGAUUAGAUACCCUGGUAGG
rnacentral:rRNA from 1 species